rnacentral:rRNA from 1 species
ACCAGACUCCUACGGGAGGCAGCAGUGGGGGAUAUUGCACAAUGGGGGGAACCCUGAUGCAGCGACGCCGCGUGGGUGAAGAAGCGCCUCGGCGCGUAAAGCCCUGUCAGCAGGGAAGAAAAUGACGGUACCUGAAGAAGAAGCCCCGGCUAACUACGUGCCAGCAGCCGCGGUAAUACGUAGGGGGCAAGCGUUAUCCGGAUUUACUGGGUGUAAAGGGGGCGCAGACGGCAGCGCAAGCCAGGAGUGAAAGCCCGGGGCCCAACCCCAGGACUGCUCUUGGAACUGCGCGGCUGGAUUGCAGGAGGGGCAGGCGGAAUUCCUGGUGUAGCGGUGAAAUGCGUAGAUAUCAGGAGGAACACCGGUGGCGAAGGCGGCCUGCUGGACUGCGACUGACGUUGAGGCCCGAAAGCGUGGGGAGCAAACAGGAUUAGAUACCCUUGUA